GACGUAGGGGGCGAGCGUUGUCCGGAUUUAUUGGGCGUAAAGCGUGCGUAGGCGGCUGCGCAAGUCGGGUGUGAAACCCCGGGGCUCAACCCCGGAACUGCAUCCGAUACUGCGUGGCUAGAGGUAGGUAGGGGAGAUCGGAAUUCCUGGUGUAGCGGUGAAAUUCGUAGAUAUCGGGAGGAACACCAGUGGCGAAGGCGGCGACCUGGGCCAAUAUUGACGCUGAGGUGCGAAAGCGUGGGGAGCAAACAGG
rnacentral:rRNA from 1 species